rnacentral:rRNA from 1 species
AACGUAGGAGACGAGCGUUAUCCGGAUUUACUGGGCGUAAAGCGCGUGUAGGAGGCGCUACAAGUUGGAUGUGAAAGCUCCCGGCUUAACUGGGAGAGGUCGUUCAAGACUGUAGUGCUAGAGUGAGGCAGAGGUAGAUGGAACUCCGGGAGUAGUGGUGAAAUGCGUAGAUAUCCGGAAGAACACCAGAGGCGAAAGCGAUCUACUGGGCCUAAACUGACACUGAGACGCGAAAGCCAGGGUAGCAAAC